rnacentral:rRNA from 1 species
UGGAUGAUGUGGAUUAAUUCGAUGCAACGCGGAAACCUUACUACCUUGACAUGUCCGGAAUCCGAAGAGAUUUGGGAGUGCUCGCAAGAGAGCCGGAACACAGGUGCUGCAUGGCUGUCGUCAGCUCGUGUCGUGAGAUGUUGGGUUAAGUCCGCAACGAGCGCAACCCUUGUCAUUAGUUGCCAUCAUUUGGUUGGGCACUCUAAUGAGACUGCCGGUGACAAACCGGAGGAAGGUGGGGAUGACGUCAAGUCCUCAUGGCCCUUAUGGGUAGGGCUUCACACGUCAUACAAUGGUCGGUACAGAGGGUUGCCAACCCGCGAGGGGGAGCUAAUCCCACAAAGCCGAUCGUAGUCCGGAUCGCAGUCUGCAACUCGACUGCGUGAAGUCGGAAUCGCUAGUAAUCGUGGAUCAGCAUGUCACGGUGAAUACGUUCCCGGGCCUU